rnacentral:rRNA from 1 species
CAGCCUAACACAUGCAAGUCGAGCGGAUGAGAAGAGCUUGCUCUUCGAUUCAGCGGCGGACGGGUGAGUAAUGCCUAGGAAUCUGCCUGGUAGUGGGGGACAACGUUUCGAAAGGAACGCUAAUACCGCAUACGUCCUACGGGAGAAAGCAGGGUGACCUUCGGGCCUUGCGCUAUCAGAUGAGCCUAGGUCGGAUUAGCUAGUUGGUGAGGUAAUGGCUCACCAAGGCGACGAUCCGUAACUGGUCUGAGAGGAUGAUCAGUCACACUGGAACUGAGACACGGUCCAGACUCCUACGGGAGGCAGCAGUGGGGAAUAUUGGACAAUGGGCGAAAGCCUGAUCCAGCCAUGCCGCGUGUGUGAAGAAGGUCUUCGGAUUGUAAAGCACUUUAAGUUGGGAGGAAGGGUUGUACGUUAAUACCGUGCAAUUUUGACGUUACCGACAGAAUAAGCACCGGCUAACUCUGUGCCAGCAGCCGGCGGUAAUACAGAGGGUGCNAGCGUUAAUCGGAAUUACUGGGCGUAAAAGCGCGCGUAGGUAGGGUUCGNUAAGUUGGACUGUGAAAUCCCGGGCUCAACCUGGGGAACUGCAUUCCAAAACUGGGGAAGCUAAAG